CGGACGGGUGAGUAAUGUCUGGGAAACUGCCUGAUGGCGGGGGAUAACUACUGGAAACGGUAGCUAAUACCGCAUAAUGUCUGCGGACCAAAGCGGGGGACCUCCGGGCCUCGCGCCAUCAGAUGAACCCAUAUGGGAUUAGCUUGUAGGUAAGGUAACGGCUUACCUAGGCGACGAUCCCUAGCUGGUCUGAGAGGAUGAUCAGCCACACUGGGACUGAGACACGGCCCAG
rnacentral:rRNA from 1 species